rnacentral:rRNA from 1 species
CCUACGGGAGGCAGCAGUGGGGAAUAUUGGACAAUGGGGGCAACCCUGAUCCAGCCAUGCCGCGUGUGUGAAGAAGGCCCUCGGGUUGUAAAGCACUUUCAGUGAGGAAGAACGCCUGGUGGUUAAUACCCAUCAGGAAAGACAUCACUCACAGAAGAAGCACCGGCUAACUCCGUGCCAGCAGCCGCGGUAAUACGGAGGGUGCGAGCGUUAAUCGGAAUUACUGGGCGUAAAGCGCGCGUAGGUGGCUUGAUAAGCCGGUUGUGAAAGCCCCGGGCUCAACCUGGGAACGGCAUCCGGAACUGUCCAGCUAGAGUACCGGAGAGGAAGGUAGAAUUCCCGGUGUAGCGGUGAAAUGCGUAGAGAUCGGGAGGAAUACCCGUGGCGAAGGCGGCCUUCUGGACUGACACUGACACUGAGGUGCGAAAGCGUGGGUAGCAAACAGGAUUAGAUACCCGGGUAGUC